UGAUUUACAUUUGAGUGAGUGGCGAACUGGUGAGUAACACGUGGGAAACCUGGCCCUAAAUGGGGGAUAACAUUUGGAAACAGAUGCUAAUACCGCAUAACAACUUGGACCGCAUGGUCCGAGUUUGAAAGAUGGCUUCGGCUAUCACUUCUGGAUGGUCCCGCGGCGUAUUAGCUAGAUGGUGAGGUAACGGCUCACCAUGGCAAUGAUACGUAGCCGACCUGAGAGGGUAAUCGGCCACAUUGGGACUGAGACACGGCCCAAACUCC
rnacentral:rRNA from 1 species